CCACGUGACGGCGCCGGUCCAUCACAAGCAGAAGGCAGGACUCCGCACCGCCACUCUCCCAGUCGUCCAAUAAGAGACAGGGAGCAGACAAGGUGGGCGGGCACCACCCGCCCCGCCUCCGAAGGCCGCCCAGCGCGGGGCGGGCCCAGCUGCCGCCCUCCAGUGGGGUCCCGGCCAGCACUGCUCGGCCGAGGCAAAAGGGAGAUGCAAACGUCAGUCAAACGGCCCCGCCAAUGAGUUCACGCGCUGCUCUCGAGCCCGCCCCUGCGUCCGCCUCCCGACGCCCGCGCUGCCUUCCCUCAAGCCGCCGCGGCCCGCCAGCCCGCGCCUCCAUCCGGGUCCUCGUGUGCGGGUUUCGGGUGGUGGUGGGUGCGAGGGCCGGGCCAUCUCCGCGGAGGGCGGCGGCGGCGGCGGGCGGCGGCCUCCUCCGCGGUCCUGAGGUGGGUACAGAGGCGGGACGGUGAGCGCGGGCCCGCCGCCAUUUUCCUUCUCUCGGACCCCCUGAGGCGGUGGGAGAAGGGGAGCGCUGCCGGCAGGAGAACCAGGAUUACCUAGGAGAAAGCCUUCCUGUGGUGCUCAGCUGUGGUCUCUUUUCAGCAUUCACCCUGGGCAUUCUCGUCACUGUGGGAUGAGGUAGUAGGUUGUAUAGUUUUAGGGUCACACCCACCACUGGGAGAUAACUAUACAAUCUACUGUCUUUCCUAACGUGAUAGAAAAGUCUGCAUCCAGGCAGCCUCAUAUAAAAUCAAUAACUAAUUGUACAACAUUUGAGAUUAACUUGUGUAAAAAUGCUGUAGCGCAGCAUUUCUUUAUAGUGUACAAGUUGCUGCUUAUUUUAGAGACUAAAAAUGUUACCAAGUAGACUGAUCGGGGGUGGGGAUACUUUUUGCCUCUCAUUUCUGUGUGUCAGAAUAAGUGUGUGUUUUAUUUUGAUUGAUGCUGAUAAUGCAACAUAAAGAGAUUGUACUCUUCAUUCCAGAAGAAAAUAUUGCUCUGUCAGAGUGAGGUAGUAGAUUGUAUAGUUGUGGGGUAGUGAUUUUACCCUGUUCAGGAGAUAACUAUACAAUCUAUUGCCUUCCCUGAGGAGUAGACUUGCUGCAUUUUGUUUCUAUCUAGAUCAUAUAAAAACUCAGAAGAAUGAAUUUUGACAUUGCUUUGAACUUACAGUUUGCUUAUGUCCUUUGUUAAUAACAUUCUGUCAAAUAUGGUGUACCUACAAUAGACACAGUAAUCUAACAUUUAAAUUUUUCACAUGUGGUAUAUUUCAGAAAUUUGAAAUUAAGCAAAAAUCUCAGAGUGGAGAAAGUAAAUAACCUUCAGGAAAUCUUAAUAGGGGACUCUUUGGAAUUGUGAAUAGAUUAACUGCUCUUGGUACAGAUGUCCAGGGUGAGAUCCUAGGUGGUAAAGGUAAAUACAAACUGGAAAAGCACUGUCUGAGCUAAAAUGGAGUCAGGUUGAUUAUGACUCAUUCCCUGGUUUGGAUUUUUGGGUGCCUUGGGCAUCGUUGUAAUCUCUGUUUCACUGGCUUGUUCAUUUGGACAACUUCGCUCUCCAGCCUGGAAAAGGAGAAAUGGGCUCUUGCAUUCAGCCCUUGUUCCCUGGUUAAGUCCUUAGGAUCUUAGCUUUGCCCUACCCCCCAAAACCUGACGUGGGCCUUCAUUCACAAAGGGAGGUCUCCUGAAGUUGUCAGAUAAGGAAAUCCAUGGUUUGUUGUUUUUAAGAAAAUGUGAGGAUAAUGCUAGAAAGGGCUACUUGAGUUUUUAACACUCAUGGAGGUUCAUGUUUCAGUUUUCUUCCAAUGGCCAAACCAUCAAGCAAGGCUAAAGCUCCCUGUUUUAAGUACUUGCCAUUUUUAUUUUGGGAGAAGAAAAAGAGGCAAAGUAGAGGUGAGGGAGAGGUCACCUCUUCCCAAAUAUUUCCAUCUGUCCUGAGUCUUAAUAUCUAAGAUAAUCCCUGUGCAGUGCCAUUGGCAGCAGGAACUUUGCAUGAGAGAAAACAUCAAAUUCUCUCUUGGAUGGUCCAAACCAGGUAAUUUAUCCUGGGUCAGAUUUGUGUGUUUUAUUUCAUCCCUGGCAUAUAGAUGGAAACCUGCAUGGUCCAGAAUUGGUCUUUGUUAUAGACUAGACAUAUACACAUGCUGGGCAGGGGCCUUUUGUAGUCAUUGCGUUUUGGUGUGCCAAAGAAAAGUGGGAAUAGUUGAGAAAUUGUUUGGCAAGUGCAGUUUUGUGGGUUUCCAAUACAUGUGCCUCCAGUGUGGAUAUCUUCACCAUUCUGCAUUUGGAAACUGAACUAAUACCUUAGGUCUAGUGAAAAAUGAAUUUGUAUCAUUUAUUGAUUGUACAAGGACACAUUUCAUAACCUUAUUGGCCAAGCCCAGUAAUUGAUUCAAGUUGUGGAGAACUACGUUUUGUGAAAACCUUUAAAAGUACCUUAUGGUAUAGUGAGAGAGUCUCUAAAAGCUUGUUUUUGAUGGUAACAAAAACCACAAUCAGAAUUUGCUUCUGUUUACUCGAAGUCAAGGGUCAAAAAUCCAAAUAACCUGGGCCUAGAAGUGGCUGGUUUAUAACUAGGAAACAGCAUCUAAAGGGGACAGGCCAUAAGUUAAUUUGCUUCAGUUGACGGUGGUAAGAAGGAUUUAUACAUACUGUCACCUAAUUCUCUAGUUUAUCAAGAGAGGUGGAGAGUUUAUGAAAUAUGUUUAAAUUUUAGUACUAUAUUAAAUGUUUCAAAAAGUCUGUGGCUCCAAUGGUACAUGAUAGGCUGGGUAUUAGGCUUCUGGUUUGCAUCCUCUUGGUGUAAUUGAAUUACUUUUUAUCCCUUCAUAACAAGAGGUUUGAUUUUAAGCAAACACAUUUGUGGUUUUUACCAAAGGCGUAUGGCCAGUAACUUUUUUUUUUUUUUUUGGCUUUGUGGCUUGUGGCUUGUGGGAUCUUAGUUCCCUGACCAGGUAUUGAACCCAGGCCCCCAGCAGUGAAACCACAGAGUCCUAACCAGUGGACCGCCAUGGGAUUCCGGCCAGUAACUUUAAAAGCAUCAGUGACCGAAUUCUAAUUGGUUUGAAUUUGAAAUAAAACCAAAAAAAUAUGGCCUAAUUUAACAGGUUAAUUUGAAGUCCAUCUGCUAAGUAGAAGACUGGCAAGAAAAAAAUGGGUUCCUAGGAAGAGGUAGUAGGUUGCAUAGUUUUAGGGCAGGGAUUUUGCCCACAAGGAGGUAACUAUACGACCUGCUGCCUUUCUUAGGGCCUUAUUAUUCCACGGUAACCGGUUUCUUUGCUACCUUGCUUUGGUGUAAACAGAGUUCUUUCUGGAGGUUUUCUCACAAAUGAAAACAUUGCAGGACUACCAAGGGGAGCCAUGCUUGCAUUAGUGAUUUAUAAACAGCAGCAUGGUACCAACAUCAAUCAACUACUGAGGAUUUAAGACUUCUGAAGUAUAGAGUUGCUCAUGUAAUCUCACUUUGGGGUUGCUGGAAAGUUUGGGAAAGCACAGUUUGUUUUUGUUUUUGGUUAAGAUCCCUUUUCUGAUCAAGAGACUGCCAGCUCUAUCCCCCUCUGUAGCCUUUGUUACACGUGAAAGAAGGCAUUUAAUGAAACUACUGAAAUAUUUUGCUUUUUCCUCCACUGUAUUUAUAAAUAUUUAUCUUGCUAAGUUUCUAUGUUUCUUUGUCUUUGGGGCUUAAAAUUUGGAGCACUUCUUAGGGGUGGUAUUAUAUUGUGGGAAUCCAUCAUUGUAUUGAGCACUCAUUAUGGUAUGUAAUCCUGUGAUUGAAUCUUUAAUGUGUACAAGGACUGGAAGGUCAACAAAAAUGAAGGGUUAUAAGAUAGAGUCAUUAUAUUUUGUUAAACAUCUUUCUAAUAAAAAUAUUACUUUUACCUUAAAA